AUUGAACGCUGGCGGCAGGCUUAACACAUGCAAGUCGAACGAGUGGCGGACGGGUGAGUAAUGCAUGGGCAUCUAGGUGAUGGAGGGGGAUAGCUAAGGGAAACUUUAGCCACUACCGCGCACCCUAGGAUGAGCUCACGUGGGAUUAGGUAGUGGGUGAGGUAAAGGCUCACCAAGCCGACGAGCUCUGGCUGGUCUGAGAGGAUGACCAGCCACACUGGGACUGAGACACGGCCCAGACUCCUACGGGAGGCAGCAGUGGGGAAUAUUGCGCAAUGGGGGAAAGCUGACUCAGCCAUGCCGCGUGAAUGAAGAAGGCCUUCGGGUUGUAAAGUUCUUUCGGUAGCGAGGCGUUAACUACAGAAGAAGCACCGGCUAACUCCGUGCCAGCAGCCGCGGUAAUAC
rnacentral:rRNA from 1 species